AAUAUUGGACAAUGGGGGCAACCCUGAUCCAGCCAUGCCGCGUGUGUGAAGAAGGNCUNNGGAUUNUNAAGCACUUUAAGUUGNNNNNAAGGGCUUUAGGCUAAUACCCUGAAGUUUUGACGUUACCAACAGAAUAAGCACCGGCUAACUCUGUGCCAGCAGCCGCGGUAAUACAGAGGGUGCAAGCGUUAAUCGGAAUUACUGGGCGUAAAGCGUGUGUAGGCGGUUCGGAAAGAAAGAUGUGAAAUCCCCGGGCUUAACCUGGGAACUGCUUUCAUAACUGCUGAGCUAGAGUACGGUAGAGGGUAGUGGAAUUUCCUGUGUAGCGGUGAAAUGCGUAGAUAUAGGAAGGAACACCAGUGGCGAAGGCGACUACCUGGACUGAUACUGACACUGAGGUGCGAAAGCGUGGGGAGCAAAC
rnacentral:rRNA from 1 species